rnacentral:rRNA from 1 species
CCUACGGGGGGCAGCAGUGGGGAAUAUUGGACACUGGGCGAAAGCCUGAUCCAGCCAUGCCGCGUGUGUGAAGAAGGCCUUCGGGUUGUAAAGCACUUUCAGUGGGGAAGAAAGCCUUGGGGCUAAUACCCUCGAGGAAGGACAUCACCCACAGAAGAAGCACCGGCUAACUCCGUGCCAGCAGCCGCGGUAAUACGGAGGGUGCGAGCGUUAAUCGGAAUUACUGGGCGUAAAGCGCGCGUAGGCGGUCUGAUAAGCCGGUUGUGAAAGCCCCGGGCUCAACCUGGGAACGGCAUCCGGAACUGUCAGGCUAGAGUGCAGGAGAGGAAGGUAGAAUUCCCGGUGUAGCGGUGAAAUGCGUAGAGAUCGGGAGGAAUACCAGUGGCGAAGGCGGCCUUCUGGACUGACACUGACGCUGAGGUGCGAAAGCGUGGGUAGCAAACAGGAUUAGAUACCCCAGUAGUC